AGAGUUUGAUCAUGGCUCAGGGUGAACGUUGGCGGCGUGCCUAAAAUAUGCAAGUCGAACGGUUCUUUUAGUUUUUUAUGCUUAUGUGUAUUAAACUUAAAGAAUAGUGGCAAACGGGUGAGUAACGCGUAGAUAACUUACCUCGAAGAUGGGGAUAGCUCGCCGAAAGGUGGGGUAAUACCCAAUGGUCUACACUCACAUAUGUGUUGUGUAGUAAAGCUCCGGCGCUUCGAGAGAGGUCUGUGUUCUAUCAGCUUGUUGGUAAGGUAAUGGCUUACCAAGACUAAGACGGAUAGCUGGCGUGAGAGCGUGACCAGCCACAAUGGGACUGAGACAAGGCCCAUACUCCUACGGGAGGCAGCAAUUAGGAAUCUUGCACAAUGGGGGCAACCCUGAUGCAGCGACGCCGCGUGGAGGAAAAAGGUUUCCGGAUCGUAAACUCCUUUUAUGUGGGAAAAAAACUGAC
rnacentral:rRNA from 1 species